rnacentral:lncRNA from 1 species
CGCGCUGGCCCCGCCCCGGGCGGGCGCUGGGCUGGGGGCUCCCGGAGGACGCUCGGCUCCCCUGGGGGCGCGCGGUGCCCCCUGCCGAGGAGGAAAUGCCCGCGUCGCGCCCGCCGGCCAAUCCCGAUUCCUCCUUCAAACUCUCCCCGGGCCGGAAAGCCGUCGCCCUAAAGCGGCUCCGGCCCCCCGCACCGGCACUGCCGGCCCCUGGGCGCGGGCAUGGGGGUGACGCGGGCCCUGGCGCGCCCCUGGGCUGUACCCCCACGUCUCCGGUCGCGCUCUUCCCUCCCGCCUGCCCCUGCCCGGGAAGAUGCCCGCGGUAAACCAGAAGCGAUUCCCGCCCCGCCACGUGACGGCCCGCGACCUGGAAGCGGACCCUCCGGAGCACUCCUUGACUUCCCACACUGUGAAAGGAAAAUCCCCAUCCCCUAACUCAUAUCCUCCACGGAAAUAUGCCUGUAGAAACCCCCAGGGGCACGCCCACCUCAGGCGCGGUUCCUGCAGCCUCCCACCUCAACGCUACCAUCAGAGAAGGUGGAGCAGCCCUGGGCACGGAGCCCUGGGGCCCGGCGUCCCCACAGACGGGCUUCGGGGACAGCCAGAUCUGCCCGUGGAUCUUGGCCCUGCCACGGAGGAGCUCUGAGCCCCGACGUUUAAGCCAGCCAGCCCUCUAACCUCUCUUGGCCUCCUUUCCUCAUCUGGAAAAUGGGGAUAAGGAUUCCUUUCUCCAACAGUUGUGAGAAGAUUACAUGAGAAAAUACUGGAGACAAUCAUAACUGAUCCCGCGGUAUCUGAACACCAAAUACAGCUUUUUCUUCUGAUUAUAAAAAUAAUUUGGAAACUACAGAAAAAUAAAAGGAAAAUAAUUAUGUCAUAGUCCCACCAUCCAGAAAUAAACACUAGGAUUUUGUUGUAUUUCUCUCCA